rnacentral:rRNA from 1 species
CCUACGGGUGACUGCAGUGAGGAAUAUUGGGCAAUGGGCGCGAGCCUGAACCAGCCAAGUCGCGUGAGGGAGGACGGCCCUACGGGUUGUAAACCUCUUUUGCCGGGGAGCAACGGGCGUCACGUGUGGCGCCACUGAGAGUACCCGGAGAAAAAGCAUCGGCUAACUCCGUGCCAGCAGCCGCGGUAAUACGGAGGAUGCGAGCGUUAUCCGGAUUGAUUGGGUUUAAAGGGUGCGUAGGCGGAUCGUUAAGUCAGUGGUCAAAUUGAGGGGCUCAACCCCUUCCCGCCAUUGAAACUGGCGCUCUUGAGUGGAAGAGAAGUAUGCGGAAUGCGUGGUGUAGCGGUGAAAUGCAUAGAUAUCACGCAGAACCCCGAUUGCGAAGGCAGCAUGCCGGCUUCCGACUGACGCUGAAGCACGAAAGCGUGGGGAUCGAACAGGAUUAGAUACCCUGGUAGUC